rnacentral:piRNA from 1 species
UGAACAUUUUCAUGAUGAUAAAAGCUGAGG